rnacentral:rRNA from 1 species
GGCGGCGUGUUUAUGCAUGCAAGUCGAACGGUGCUGAUGAGCUAGGUUUCCUAACAUGUCAGGAGAGUGGCGAACGGGUGAGUAACGCGUAAGUAACCUGCCCUUAAGUAGGGGAUAACUCCGAGAAAUUGGGGCUAAUACCGUAUAUGGUGGUAGAGGUAAUGCUUUAUCACUAAAGCCUUCGGGCGCUUAGGGAGGGGCUUGUGUCCGAUUAGCUAGUUGGUAGGGUAACGGUCUACCAAGGCGAUGAUCGGUAGCUGGUCUGAGAGGAUGGUCAGCCACACUGGGACUGAGAUACGGCCCAGACUCCUACGGGAGGCAGCAGCAAGGAAUCUUGUGCAAUGGGCGAAAGCCUGACACAGCGACGCCGCGUGGGGGAUGAAGGCUUUCGGGUUGUAAACCCCUUUUCCCAGGGAAGAAUAAUGACGGUACUUGGGGAAUAAGUCUUGGCUAACUACGUGCCAGCAGCCGCGGUAAUACGUAGGAGGCAAGCGUUAUCCGGAUUUACUGGGCGUGAAGAGGGCGCGGGCGGUCCUUCAAGUCGGAUGUAAAAUCUCCCGGCUUAACUGGGAGGGAUCAUUCGAUACUGUAGGGCUAGAGGGCAGCAGAGGGAGGUGGAAUUCCCGGUGUAGCGGUGGAAUGCAUAGAUAUCGGGAGGAACACCAGUGGCGAAGGCGGCCUCCUGGGCUGUACCUGACGCUGAGGCCCAAAAGCGUGGGGAGCGAACAGACUUAGAUACUCUGGUAGUCCACGCCGUAAACGAUGGACACUAGGUAUAGGGAGUAUCGACCCUCUCUGUGCCGAAGCUAACGCUUUAAGUGUCCCGCCUGGGGAGUACGGCCGCAAGGCUAAAACUCAAAGGAAUUGACGGGUCUCCGCACAAGCAGCGGAGCGUGUGGUUUAAUUCGAUGCUACGCGAANAACCUUACCAAGGCUUGACAUGUCGGAAGUACCGACCCGAAAGGGAA